UAACAACCUGGAAACAGAUGCUAAUACCGGAUAAUAACAGAUGAUGCCUAUCAACUGUUUAAAAGAUGGUUCUGCUAUCACUCUUGGAUGGACCUGCGGUGCAUUAGCUAGUUGGUAGGGUAACGGCCUACCAAGGCGAUGAUGCAUAGCCGAGUUGAGAGACUGAUCGGCCACAUUGGGACUGAGACACGGCCCAAACUCCUACGGAGGCAGCAGGG
rnacentral:rRNA from 1 species